rnacentral:rRNA from 1 species
CUACGGGAGGCAGCAGUGGGGAAUAUUGGACAAUGGGCGAAAGCCUGAUCCAGCCAUGCCGCGUGAGUGAUGAAGGUCUUCGGAUCGUAAAGCUCUGUGGGAAGGGACGAAAAAAGCCGACCUAAUACGUCGGAGCUUGACGGUACCUUCUUAGCAAGCACCGGCUAACUCCGUGCCAGCAGCCGCGGUAAUACGGAGGGUGCAAACGUUGCUCGGAAUUGUUGGGCGUAAAGCGCACGUAGGCGGCCCGUUAAGUCGGAUGUGAAAUCCCUCGGCUCAACCGAGGAAGUGCAUCCGAAACUGGCAGGCUUGAGUACGGAAGAGGGUCUCGGAAUUCCCGGUGUAGAGGUGAAAUUCGUAGAUAUCGGGAGGAACACCAGUGGCGAAGGCGGAGACCUGGGCCGAUACUGACGCUGAGGUGCGAAAGCGUGGGGAGCGAACCGGAUUAGAUACCCUUGUAGUCC